UACGUAGGGUGCGAGCGUUGUCCGGAAUUAUUGGGCGUAAAGAGCUCGUAGGCGGCCUGUCGCGUCUGCCGUGAAAGUCCGGGGCUCAACUCCGGAUCUGCGGUGGGUACGGGCAGACUAGAGUGAUGUAGGGGAGACUGGAAUUCCUGGUGUAGCGGUGAAAUGCGCAGAUAUCAGGAGGAACACCGAUGGCGAAGGCAGGUCUCUGGGCAUUAACUGACGCUGAGGAGCGAAAGCAUGGGGAGCGAACAGG
rnacentral:rRNA from 1 species